CCUAACACCUCACCAGCAGCACCUGUUCACGAGCAGUUGUAGGUGAAUCCACCUUUAAACUGUUACAACUACAGUGUCUCACACAUGGAGCAAACCACCGUCAGUGGUAGUGGCCUAGCAGUGAAUGUCAAUCACCAUUCAGAAACCAUCAGACAAGGAUCUUUACAAGGAAGGCAGAAGGCUAUGAAGGAAAAGCAUGGUUAAUGGUCUGUACAUAUCAUCAUAGUGUUAUGUCAAAAAGCCUCCCCCGUUAGGUUUAUCACGUAGAGCAGAAGAGCUGGACCACUUCAGUGCUGCUGGAACAUCCAUGUAAUACCACUGGUCAUUGCAAUCAUAUCAUCAUGUCCGAAGAAUGACAAGACGUAUUUAACGACUCCUCCUCCUCUCUUUCCUCAGUCUGUCUUUCAGCUUGUUGCAGACUCAAGUUAUGACUGUGUUUUGUUGUUCUGGGUAUUGUUGUUGUUAUGGCAACUUAAUUACGGAGCAGUAACAAAACCAUAAAGCCUCUAUCAGAGUCCAAAAUGUGCAUGUGUACGCACAGCAGUGUUCUAGAAUAUUGGACUGUUGGCUUUCAUACUUUUUGAAUUCUCAGCAGAGAACGUUGGUUGGGAAUUUUGGUAAGGUGCGCGUUCGGGCUGUGCAUCCCCUGCGAAUUGUGGUCUCAGAGCCAUGUAGCUACAGUAUGUCACAACGAGAUGCCGGACUAUCACGUCACUAAGUCUGUGGCCGGACUGUUUGACUCUGAAUUAAGCUUUACACGUCCUGUACAGGAGAAGCAACAAACCGGCCAAUCGAGACAGACUGACCUAAUGUAAAUAUUUAUCAGCUGACCAAUCAGGUUGCAAGUGUGUGCCUGUUUGUAGAGGGCAUAGAUUUAGAUAGACAUUGCAUCUUUGUAUCUGUCCCACUAUGGCAUCUGUGAGAGAAAAGGCAACACCAUUGAGACCAUGUCCAGUUUGAAGUAGUCACUUUAUUAAUGUACUACUUCUAUGAGUUGGCAAACAAACUAAAAAGGUGCAUACUGUGGUCUGGACUAUUAUUUGAACAGGUAUAAAUGUUGCCUAUUUACUGCCACCUGCAGUUCUGGAAUGUUUGCUCACAGGAAUAAUUAAUUGGCUGAUCCCUCCUGAUGACCUGGAUAGAAUUAUGGGAUCCUUUCUUAACCCAUAGGAAGUUCCACCCAGUUGACUACUUAAAAAUGGUGAAACUCCUCAAUGGCACUGCCCAUGCUAAAAAAGACUUUUGGGCACUAGUGUUGUCUAUCUAAGUCUAUGGUAGAGGGAGAAUGAUCAUGUGAGGUUACUGUAAAAUAAUGAACAGUGAAAGGACACAAAUUGGAGGCUAACACACUGCAUCAUGGGAUACUUUUCAGGCCUGGAGACUCAAGCCAGGAUCAAGGCAAAAUAAAUAAUUAAUGGACCAACAGUAGAAACAAUGUCUCUUAAAAUAUGAAGAUAAUAGUCAACCACCACCAGAAGUAGAGCAUCAUAGUGCUUUGUAUGACCGUAUAUGACGUCAACAGCUAUGUGUCAGCCAAUGGCACAGGUCACCUUUACCUGUGUAAGCUGUGAUUGGUGGAGUGACAGGAAGAUGAUGAUGUCACUUCCUCCUUGCUAUUUGUACCACUGUUACUAGAGAUAGAGGAAUUCUUCCGACUGGGCACACACUGAAUCAAUGUUGUUUCCAUGUAAUUUCAAUGAAAUUAUGUUGAACCAAAGUGGAAUAGAUGUUGAAUUGACGUCUGUGCCCAGUGGGAUUCUUCUGAGGAAGACAGAUGACAUGGGUAAAACCAGUAUUUAUGUGAAAGGUAUAUUUUCUAAAGUUCAAUUAUGAGGAAUGAAAUGCCAAAAAUAAAACCUGCGUUAAGGUAAGAUGGUCAUCUAUUUUAGAAGGAUGAACAAUGCUAAGGUUUGCCAACUACGACCAUUACACACCAAACCUCUUUAAAUCUUAGCAUUGCUUAUGAUGACAAGAUGCCUUGGUUCAUUUCGGGAGAGGAUUGAUAGUGCCACUAGUUUUAAACAGCCGGUAGUACAGAAAAUGUCAAUGACAACUUACUCAUGAAUGGGUAUCGUGAGUUCAAUGUAUAACUGUGUUACAAUGUCUGCAUGAAUUGUAUUUUUCUUUCUUCUUUUGAAUCUGUUUACAAUUGUUUUGUGAGAUUAUUACUGUACCUGACGCUGAAAAGGCAAUGCAGUCCAAUCUAGAUUUUACUUAGUUUCUUCAGCAGUCUCUCAGCUAGCUUCAAUUUGUAUAUUUAACUAAAUAGAUAACUUAGACCGACAGAAAGUAUUUUACCACAUUGAGUUUUGAUAAACACCUUCCUGAAUUGUGUUUUUUUAAAGUAUUAUUUUGGGGUAUUUCUCUCAUUCCAAAGAUGAACACUAGACUCCACACUGAGUUUCACGGCCGUAUACAUUUGCAAAGGCUGAGUAAAAGCUUUGCAACUGAUGUCACUACAGAUUUGAUCCUUUGGUAUGAUUUAACUAUUAUUAUUCUAUAUUCUACUUCCAUGUUAAUCCUAAUCCCAUGUUAAUCUCUCCUAGUAUACUUUAGUCUCCAAAGUGCCUUUAUGCACAAAACGGCAAGUAUUUCUGUUAAUCUGAGAGAUUUUUUUAGACAUUAUUUUUUAAACGAAACUGCAAAGUAUGUAAAAACAUGUGGUCAACAAAAGUGCUUUUAUGAUGUUACACUGAAUCAGUAUUUUAUUAACCUGGAGGCCUUUGAAGUACCUAGAGCUCAUUUCUGGUUUAAGAUGGGCAUAACCUAUGAACUUUAACCUACGACCUAUAACCUACGACCGAUGACCUUUUGAAAUAAGCCACUUUUAUUUUGAGUAAAUAUCUACUAUGGUCUAUAUCAUAUACACAAUAAUAGGUAUGAUUGAUUGACUCUGUUCUAUUUUGCAGCAUUCAGUCCUUUACACUCAUAAUAUUUUUUGUAUAUCAAAAUAAUGGGACACUGGUUGAUUUAAUUAAGUUACUGUGCACCGUUUGUGACUGCAGGCAAAUGCGGUGCUUUUAAACGGGAGAGAAAGACAAAAAAAUGUAUACAUAUAUAUAUAUUCUCAAUUUGGUUUGGUCACAUACAGUACGAAUAAUUGCCUUUAUUCUCAAACUGAAAUGGAAAAAAAACAACGUUUUGUCAUAUUAUUUUAUUUAUAUACUAUAAACUAUAGAUAAUGCAACAAUGCAUAUCUGUAAACAGUGUGUUAGCGUGUCAAACGUUUGAUGAACAGUUGAUGACUCCACAACUCCCCAGCCCACCUGAAAAAGCACAGCUCUUUAACAGUACUAUCUGAUCAGAAACACAAAACUUCCUGUUAGGAAUAGUUUCCCAUUGUUCAUUAAAGAAGCAUAUAGAGGCUGGUUCAGAUGAAGAAGAAUGACAAGGAGGGCAGACAGAAAGCAGUAAGCAUGUGUUGUGUUUUUCUUCAGUCUGGACCUGUCUUUAGCAGUCCUACUCUUGAGAUGCUUUACACUGGCCUUUAAUAUGGGUCCAUCCAUGCGUGUGCGAAUACAGAUGGCCCAAAGGUGUCCCUGUUUCACUGUGAAACAGGUUGGACAAGCAGAAAGAGAUGAUCUGCUUUUGGUCCCCACACCAAGUUGAAUGUUUAGCAGGAGUUCCUUAUUAAAACCAUAAUGACAGUCUCAGCAUGUCAUGAGCCAAUUUUAAGAGUAUGAAUAUACAUUUUCAAGAGUAUUUAUGUUACGAAAUAUUAAACAAUACACAGCCUUAUAUCGCCGGUCAAUGUGAUGUCAAUUAGAGAUGUAAUCAUUCUGAGAAUACAGUAUAUUGUUUAUUAAAUCUGUUGUUAUAAUGAACAAUGAAGUAGUUAUCUACAUACAUGUACAGUAGUUUAGAUGUGUCCCAAAUUGCACCCUUUUCUCUAAUCCUUUUAUAGUGUACUACUUUUGACCAGGGCCCAUAGGGAAAAAGUUAUGCACUAAAUAAGGAAUUGGGUAGCAUUUGGGAUGGAGACUGUGGUUUACAAAUAUGUGUAGUCUACCAUUGUGGCUUAUAAAUGGUCAACUGAAUUCUGCCGUGUCAUUGUGUAAGACAGUAUCUCGUAGAUGGAGUCGUCCGUGGUGCAAAGUGAAUAUUAGCAGUCAUUAGAAUUUUGCUCCGUGGUUGUUAUCAUUUUAGUAUUAUUUUGGUGAUAGUGAUUGUUCAAAUAUGAAGCAUAUUGUAUUGCUGCCUAUAAUCUCUUGUAGACUGAUGCAUGCAUCUCUUGAUGGUUUGAUCCUUUUCACCAAGCUGUGUUGAUUAUUCUGCAGAUGAAAUCUUACUGGGAGAUGAUGGAACCUUUUAUAGACAUGUUCUUAAACAGUUCACAGAAUUCUGAGGGAAUUCUAAGUGUGACAUUCGUUUUACUGCAUUCUGAUCAUGUAGUCAGCAAUUUCAAGGAAAAAGCAGCUCCAAGGAAGAAAAAUACAAUGGUGUUCAAUAGUGAAUCAUUAUUUUAAACUAUUUAACCAGAAAGGGGCAUAGGGUUAGAAAGCCAUCCACUAAACUGUGAAUAAUAUUUUUCUGUUUGACAACAGAGUUGCUGGUCAAUUGUCAUUAAGAAGGGGCAUUUUAAAACAUUUAUGAUCGGGCCUAGUCAGAACCACCCUGUUCAUUCAAUUUCAUUUGAAUGUUAAUACGUUUUAGAGUCCUUUGACAUGAGGGUAAUUGCCAUACUACAUUUCUAAAUAAAUAGCCAAUAACCUGUAUAGUUUUCAACCAUCACAAGAUGACAUUUAGAAAGCUGGCUCUGUUUUGGAUGGAAAAGAGACAACAGGGCUGUGUUCAACAGGGCACCAUGUUGUGGAACAUCAUGUAGAACAAAUAUGUUAAGUAAUGUAAGGACUCACGUCAGCUCUAUUCAUGACAUUUCUAUCUGCAACGUUCCACAUUUGCCUACCUAACAUAGCCCAGGACAAAGGUACUGUACAGUGAUGGCUGAAUGUAAUGUAACUGUUGUAUCUGUGGUCUGAAGGGUUGGGCUCAAUUACAUUUCAAUUCAGUCAAUGCCGGAAGUAAACAAAACAUUUUCUCAAUGCUUUUUAAUGAAAAACAAAUGUAAUUAAGAAUUUCAGUUUGAAUUGAAAUGUAAUUUGCCAUAAUUCUGGUGACCUGACCGCUGCCUGCUUCAGGCUGUUUUUAAACUCAUGUUUUCAUUUCAUCUUGUUUCACCGCUGCGCUGUAUAAAUGUCUUCUUGUUUUGAUGUAUAUAUUAAAACAGGGGUAGGAAACCCUGUUCUUGGUGUGCCGCAGGUACAGCAGGAUUUUGAUCCAUCUAGGCACCACGCUGGACCAACUGAGCUAAUUGAUCAGUUCAGUAAUUGCCUAAAUUCAACAUACCUGGUCUUCCAGGUUGGUUAAAUCAAAAACAUGAAGUUCCUGGGGCCCUCCAGGACCAGGGUUACCUACCCCUGUAAUAAAGAGGUUUUGUACAUUAUUAUUGUAUUAUUGACUUUAAGUCGCAAUAAAUGUUUUGGACUUGUUGACUCAUUGAUGUUGUGUAUGUGUGUUUGUUAUUUGGACUUAUAGUACAGCCCUGUAUUAGCCUGGUGCCAGAUCUGAUUGUGCUUUUUUGCCAACUCGUAUGUCCAGUGUCAUGCCAAACAUGACAUGACGAUAGGAGUUGGCAAAACAGCACAAACAGAUCAGGCACCAGGCUAGCCCUCUAAAUAAACAGCAUCACAUCAGAAAUGUUCAGUAAUGUUGUAGCCAGGAACCUGUUAGGGGGGAAAGAGCUUUCAGUUUUUUACAGCUUCAGAAGAGAGAGAACACAAUUCGCACACAGAUGUGAAUAUUACACCAUCUCAACUCCACAAUACCACAAAAGCAGUUUACAAGUCAAAGUGCUACAUCCAUUGAUCCUUUCAGUAGCUUAGUCUCACAGUCAAUAAAAGUCUUGUUCAGUUCAGAUCAGUUCCAUGUUCUUGUCACAAUUUGAACCCAACAAAGAAGCAUGCACACUAUUAUAUUAUGCUGCCCAUGUUAUAAUAGAGUAUACAGCUUUUUUUAUAUCAAAUUAAUCAAAGUGCAGGAUAUCUUAGCAUAGUAUGCAUCAUAUUCCACAAAAGAAUGACAUAUUAUAAUUGAUAUAAUUCAUAAUAUGAAUACAUGGGAUGAUUGCCUUACAUGUCAGAUGCAUAUAUGAGCAACACAGACCAGUAGUACAUGGUAAAGGUACCAGAGGUCAUCGUCUGGGCCUUUUCCCACAAUCACAGAUUCACAUAGGAGGUCACAAGCUCCAAAGCAUGAAUGGCUUUUUAAUAUAGUGUUUCAUGUUUAUAUACACUGAAUACUUUAACCAUGUACAAUACCCAUUUACUUCUGAUUUGUUUAUCUUCUGGAAAGGUACUAAAAUGUCCCCCAUAAAAUAUGAUUCUACAGUGCUCCCUUGUGGAGAGAUGCAACUAUUGACACCAAGAAAUAAACAGUCAAGAUAAUCCAAAACCUGUCCAUUUUCCCAACUACACAAUACAAAUAUCUGAAAACAUACUCAUACUGUACAGUUGCAACCUCUUGAAAAUGUCCUUUCCCUAAAAAGCAUUGUUGGUACACGAAGUAUGUAACAACACAUUGUUGCAAUUUGUCAAUAAAUUGAUAUACAAAUGAUAUAAUUCUAUUGAAAUGCAAGUUGUAUUAUAUUUUAUUAAUUUACUCAUUUUAUUAUACAACUAAAUAAAUCUAGUACCUACAUAUAUGUGUACAUGAUACAAAAUAUGAACAUGUUCAAAAUUAAAUAAUUAAGAUGUGUAAUGGGUAUAUGUUGUACAGAUUGCUCAGAAAUAUAGAACACUUUGAAACAGUUUUGACAUAAAUACGCUGACUUUGGUGUUAAUAAAAUCUCUAAAUAAAUGCAAUGUCCAAGAAAACGGGAGUAUAAAGUUUCAAAAGAAAAACCAAUCUAGACUAUCUAUAAUCUAUCAUCUCUAUAAUUUCUAUCAUCUCUAUAAUCUAUCAUCUCUAUAAUCGAUCAUCUCUAUAAUCUAAUCUAUAUAAUCUAUCAUCUCUAUAAUUUAUAUUAUCUCUUUAAUCUAUACAUCUCUAUAUCGCUAUCAUCUAUAAUCUCUUAUCAACAAUCUAUAAUCUCAUUCAUUCAUGUUUAUGUACACUUCUACAUUAAAACCUCUUAAACUGACAGUCGCUGAAAUGGUGCACUAGAAUUACUUUUAAAAAUAUGUAAAUGUUUACCUUACUUAUUUUAUUGACUUCCCACUGUUUUGUCAGAAGACAGCAAUGCAGACCUUCCUCUGUCGAAUAAACUUGUAUUUGCCUCCCUCUGCUGGUCAGUUUCAUCAUUACAUCGAUUUAUAUCACUUCACUGCAAUGUGACAUCAAAGGGGCGGUCCUUAGAAAAACAUUUAUCCAGCUCGACUGCUUCACAGCACAGACAUGGCAAAGCAAUCACUGAAUUUGUCUCGAGCAGGCAGAUCUAAAUACAACAGAGCUCUACGAUAAAGAAGGCAAUCUACACACUUCCUUAAACCUAAAAUAAGUAAAGAAGUAAUUUUGUGUGGAAGUCAAACAUUUGUUUUACUUUGGAGGCAGACACAUUGCAUAUGGUCAGAGCGACAUAAUCGAUGCCUUUACAUAGCCCUUCUCCCCUUGUCUAUAAGAGGGAAGCAUGCUGUUUAAAUGGCCCAAAUGUUGAUUGAGACGUUCACAAAUGUAACAGAUUUUGACUAUCAUUAAUGUCAUGAUACAGUGCCUUCGGAAAAGUAUUCAGACCCCUUGACUUUUUCCAUAUUUUGUUACAUUAGAGCCUUAUUCUAAAAUUGAUUAAAUAUUUUUUUCCCUCAUCAAUCUACACACAAUACCCUGUAUUGACAAAGCAUGAACAGGUUUUUAGACGUUUUUACUAAUUUAUUAAAAAUAAACUGAAAUAUUACAUUUAUAUAAGUAUUCAGACCAUUUCUCAGUACUUUAUUGAAGUACCUUUGGCAGCGAUUACAGUAUGACGCUACAUAUUACAGUAUGACGCUUCUUGGGUAUGACGCUACAAGCUUGGCACACCUGUAUUUGGGGAGUUUCUCCCAUUCUUCUCUGCAGAUCCUCUCUAGAUAUGUCCGGUUGGAUGGGGAGCGUUGCUGCACAUCUAUUUUUAGGAUCAAUCAGGUUUAUGUCCGGGCACUAGCUGGGCCACUCAAGGACAUUCAGAGACUUGUUCCAAUGCCACUCCUGCCUUGUCUUGGCUGUGUGCUUAGUGUUGUUGUCAUGUUUGGUCAACUUUCUCCCUAGUCCGAGGUCCUGAGAGCUCUGGAGCAGAUUUUCAUCAAGGAUCUCUCUGUACUUUGCUCCGUUCAUUUUGCCUCGAUCCUGACUAGUCUUCCAGUCCCUGCCACUGAAAAACAUCCCCACAGCAUAAUUCUGCCAUCACCAUGCUUCACCAUAGGGAUGGUGCCAGGUUUCCUCCAGACGUGACGCUUGACAUUCAGGUCAGUGUUCAAUCUUGGUUUCAUCAGAGCAGAGAAUUUUGUUUCUCAUGGUCUGAGUCUUUACGUGCCUUUUGGCAAACUCCAAGUGGGCUUUCAUGUACAUUUUACUGAGGAGUGGCUUCCGUUUGGCCACUCUACCAUAAAGGUCUGAAUGGUGGAGUGCUGCAGACAUAGUUGUCCUUCUGGAAGGUUCUCCCAACUCCACAGAGGAACUCUAGAGCUCUGUCAGAGUGACCAUGUGGUUCUUGGUCACCUCCCUGACCAAGGACAUUCUCCCCUGAUUGCUCAGUUUGGUCUGGUGACCAGCUCUAAGAAGAGUCUUGGCAAUUCCAAACUUCACUGAGUUCUUGGGGACCAUCAAUGCUGCAGACAUUUUUUGGCACCCUUCUCCAUAUCUGUGCCUUGACACAAUCCUAUCUCUGCGCUCUGCGGACAAUUCCUUCGACCUCAUGGCUUGGUUUUUGCUCUGACAUGCACUGUCAACUGUGGGACCUUAUAUAGAUAGGUGUGUGCCUUUCCAAAUCAUGCCAAUGAAUUGAAUUUACCACAGGUGGACUCAAAUCCAGUUGUAGAAACAUCUCAAGGAUGGUCAAUGGAAACAGGAUGCACCUGAGCUCAAUUUCAAAUCUCUUAGCGAAGGGUCUGGAUACCUAUGUAAAUCAGGUAUUUCUGUUAAAACAUUUUUAUACAUUUGCUAAAUGUCUAAAAAGCUGUUUUUGCUCUGCAUUAAAGGGUAUUGUGUAUCGAUCGCUGAGGAUUUAGUUUCAUUUCAUCCAUGUUAGAACUAGGCUGUAACGUAGCAACAUGUGGAGAAAGUACUUUCCGAAGGAACUGUAUGUUUGGUCAAGUAAUAAAGAAUGUGAAAUAUUUUGGGUAGAUGUUCCGAAAACAGAUUAUAACUAUAUAUGGACAUAUUAUAAAGUAUGAAAAGGAUUAUUCAUUCCCAACUGUACGUUAUUUUAUCAUUUCAUAAUUGUUGUAUUUGUUUUAGUAUACUUUUACUGUGUACUAGAUCAUAUGGGUUGAAAAGUGUUUUUUUCCUCAGACAUAGAUAAACAAUUCCAGGUGAAAGCCAAAGGUCACAGCUUUCUGGGGGGAAACAACACUACUCCAUUAAAAUAUUGCCCUCUUGCUAGAUGGAUGACUAAAGCCAUAGCGAAACAGUACAAAACGGCUGUCAGCUCAACUGGUUUUAAGACAAUUAAUAACAACAAAAAACAAGGUCUACAUAAAUAAUCAUCUUUACAGUGUAGUGCUCCAUACAUGCUUGUGCACUGUGCAACAUGUUGCAUUACAAUCUAUAAGGUAGACAUGGUUGUUCUUCUCUGUACUCUUCAGGUUGAUGAGGGGAGAGAGAUCAGUUGAACCUCUUCCUUCAGGUUGAUGAGAGAGAUCAGUUGA
ensembl:lncRNA